rnacentral:lncRNA from 10 species
CAGCGUCCCUCCGCCUCCCACACCAUGUUGAGCUGCACCUUGUCCCCUUCCGCCCCAGCUAACUCGGUGACCAGUGGAGGCCACACCCACGUGACACCUGCUGUCCUUGACAGCAGCUCCGACGGCACCUCUGUGGCUCUGCAGGAGCCGCCUCCCCGCCUCGUGGGCACACAGGUGAGCUGACCGUACUUGCCCAGCCGGUCUGAGGGAAGCGAGGUCAGGGGCGACGGCGCCGCCUCCGCCUCCGCCUGUCCCCUCCCUCCGUCCGGCAUCCGCGCCGCUCAAGGACUCCAAAGUCAGCGUCGCGAAUCGACAUCUAGAGGAGUACUCACCACUUAAUUGAUGAUCAAUACACGUUCCUUGAAAGAACCGAUAGCAUGCGAUCGAUACAGAGCAUCUGCACUGGGAUUGUCCGCCCCGCCUGUCAGGGAGGCCUCGGGGGCUAAUGGAGCUGAGGGUAUAGUCGGCCUUGGACCCUCGCUUUUUUCCUUUCCUGUACUAUGAAGAUAACUGCCUUAUCUCCCCCUCAGGACUGUUUUGGGGAUUAAAUAGGACGUUUAAAUUACCAACGCUCUUUGAAAUAAACAUUUCAAAAUUAUUAUAACCCUUUAGUACAUGUGGGAAAACGUUGACAUUCAUGUUCAAGUUUAUUUUUCUGCUGGCUCAUUUAGGUUUGUUGAAGCCUUGAGUCCCUAGGAUUGUCUAAGAACAUGGGUAAAUGUGUGUGGAGGCCUCCCUGGAGGCCAGAGAACUGCCAGCAGCCUUCAUGAUGUUAGGGGAACAGGAACCUAGGAGAGCCAGGGUGACAUCGUUUUAAAAUCAACAACCCAUCUUGGCGGGCGCGGUGGCUCAAGCCUGUAAUCCCAGCAGUUUGGGAGAAAAAAAUUAGCCGGGUGUGGUGGUGGGCACCUGUAAUCUCAGCUACUCAGGAGGCUGAAGCAGAAUUGCUUGAACCCAGGAGGCAGAGGUUGCAGUGAGCUGAGAUCACGCCAUGGCACUCUAGCCUGGGCAACAAGAAUGAAACUCUGUCUCAAAAAAAUAAAAAUAAAAUAAAAUAAACUCCAUCUUAAAACCAGUGAAACCACCAUUGCAAAAUUAUAACUGAGACAGUGAGAGAUCUGACCUAACCAACUCCAUCCUACUUUUAACCUCCAAACUGUCCUUGUUCAUUCCUGGGUGUAGGCCAAACUAACUUUGGAAGAAACUUAGUUUAUGGUUUCCCGAAACAAAUCCUUUUCUUGUCUGGAGACUAGACUGCCUUUGUAGGACUAACAAAUUAGCCACAAGAUUAGAAAUUAUGGUUUAGAAUUCAUGCAGCUGGAGAUUACAAGAUUCUGACCCUCCCUAAAUUGCUCCUGGGGAUAACAUCACUAUUGAAAAACCUAACAACAGUGCUUGAGAUAUUUUGCAGACCUUGCACUUGCUGAAUUAGCUGGGACCAUCCAGAUGGAUAAACUGGCUCAUCUGAUCUUGUGGCCCGCACUCAGCAACCGGCUCAGGCCAAGAGGACAGCUUUGAUCCAUACGAUUUCAUCUCUGAUCUGACCCCUCAGUGCUCCCAGCUUACUGGCCCCCUACCUACCAAAUUAUCCUUAAAAACUCUGAACUCCAGGGCUGGGCACGGUGGCUCACACCUGUAAUCCCAGGACUCUGGGAGGCCGAGGCAGGCGGAUCACUUGAGGUCAGAAGUUCAAGACCAGCCUGGCCAACAUGGCAAAACCCCGUCUCUACUAAAAAUACAAAAAUUAGCCAGGCGUGGUGGUGCACGCCUGUAAUGCCAACUACUUGGGAGCCUGAGGCAGGAGAAUUGCUUGAACCCUGAAGGCGGAGGUUGCAGUGUGCUGAAAUCGCACCACUGCACUCCAGCCUGGGCAACAGAGCAAGACUCCAUCUCAAAAACAACAGCAAAAACUCUGAACUCCGAAUUCUUGGGGAAAUUGAUUUGAGUAAUAAUAAAACUCUGGUCUCCCGCACAGCCAGCUCUGUGUGGAUUAUUCUUUCUCUAUGCAGUUCACCUGUUUGGAUAAAUCAGCUCUGUGUAGGCAACAUGAACCUGAUUGGCAGUUACAGUAGCCUGUAAUCCCAGCUACGUGGGAGGCUGAGGCAGGAGAAUUGCCUGAACCUGGGAGGCGGAGGUUGCAGUGAGCCGAGAUCAUGCCACUGCACUCCAGCCUGGGCAACAGAGCAAGACUCCAUCUCAAAAAAAAAAAAAAAAAAAAAAAAAGAUGGCUAUAGUCAUGCUUAGAUGUAGUUACGCACUGAAAUGCCAAGGAUAACGUUAUUUACAUCCACCAAGUACUAGAUCUUGUCACACUGCCAGCCCACCUGCACUUACACGUAGCUUGGCUUUUACAUUGAUACAAGAUGCCUUUGAAACAAAGAUGGCACAUUCUUCUUCCUGCUUUCCGCGGGCUCCCCACUCUGUAUCAGAGCAGCUGUCUCUCACUGCACUCUGCGACUGCCUUGAGUUCCUCCCUGCGCAAGAUCCGAGAACUCUCUCUUAGGGUCUGGACUGGACCCCUUUCUCCAUCAGCACUGGGUUCCUUAGAUUCCUACUAACAGCAUGCUGAGGCCUGUCUUAACAAAGAAUGAAGUGAGGCUUAGAAAGAUGGAACCAUAACUUGCUCAGUCACGUGGCUAGUAAGCUCUUCAGCUUGAAUUUAAACAUUCCAGGACUGUGUCUUUCCACUCGGCCAUCUUUAAAGCAGAGUGAUAAAAUAGUUUUGUUUUCUAAAAAACCAUCACAGGCAUAACUGAUCACAGGUAUAACCAGUAUCCAUGCGGGGUGUGGAACACUGAAUGAAACCCGGGCGGAUUCCCAGCUUGCUCCGUCUCAGCUUGGGCACUGCUGUUUACAGCCUGUGUACUCCCCUCCCGCCCUGCCACCCACAAGUGUCUCACCUCCUUCCUCGACAGAUCGAAUGACACAACAAACAUUUAUCUUGGGUGCACAGCGUGUCAGGCGUCAGGCUAAGCACUUUGAUAAACUGGUUCUUUCAAACAUCACAGGUGUCUGACGCAGGCACCAUUAUCCACGUCAUAGAAAAAAAACAGUGUUCAGUGAGCCUGAGGUUAGCAAUGUGUGCACCUCCACACACUGCUAAAUGACAAAGCUGAAUUUUGAAGUACGAUGCCAUGAGGUGUCUGGAGUAGACAACCAAAAUGACUUAAUUGAGGUGUCAGGGGACUGUCUUACUUUCUGGUCACACAAGCAAUAUACGCUCAUUGUGAGGUUUGGUUGUUCCAUUACAAAAAAGACUGUUUUAAAAGCCAUUAGCGGAGGGAUGGGAGGAGUUCUCUUCUGCCUGUUUCUUCCUCCUAAACAGCAAAAUGACGGUGUCCUCAAAGGGAUGUAUAAUGAGCGAGAGGCGAAAAAGAACGUCUGUGAUUUUAAAUCCAGUGUCCUUCACCAGUGAGCAAUAGUAGUUCUGUGAGUGGGAGAGCAGGACCGCGGUGCUUGCAAACAACACUUUAAAACACUGGAACCCAAGUUCAGGAUCUGCUGACAGCACAUCUGCAGGAAGCAUGAGGGUCUCUGGACUCCCGCAGAUCAGCUGCUCAGCUUCUCAGCCUCAAUGUGGCAAAGACUCUACCUGACCUAACUCCAGGCAGGGUCCUCGAAGCCCUCAAGGCUCUGACCUGGACCCCUGUCCCCUUUCGUCCAAAAGAAUCCUGCUGGGUCAAUGCAGUGACAGUUCCCCGCCCCUGAUAUCAUACUCCUCAUCCCUCACCCUCGGUAUCUUAUCACCUGGCCUGCCUGUGGCACGAAUCCUACCAAGUGGUUCUAGCAAGAACCCCCCUGGCCUGAUGUAGCCUCUUCAUAGUUUUCCGUCCGUUCUCACCCUCUCCGUGGCUGUACAUUCCCGUUUUUCUUCUUACACUCAGAGUUGAGCCUAGUCCCACUGCAGUGGCCCCUGCACCUAUCGCGAUUCCUUUGAGACUGUAAAACAAAAAUAAAAUUCUAGUCCCCCGCCAACCCCGUUAGCCACGAGCUUUCCAAAGUAAACCUUAGAGACUAGUUCAGACCGUGAUGGGAAGUGGGGGUGGGACAGGCUCCUUAUACCCGCCUUCCGUUGAAAUCCAGGCACAGCUGACCUGCAUUAACGUCAAAGCAGAGAUCUUAAGGUUGACAAAACAGACUCUGUAGCAAUAAGAUACUACAUUCCAACCUGACUCUAGUAUAGCAUCACAUGAUAGAGAGCAGGCCCUGGAAGAAAUCAAGCAUUUUACCCCAGAAUAUAUUUCUUUGACAUAUUUUGAAGGGGCCCCACACGGCUGUCUCUUGAGGGGAAAAUCCACAUCCUGCCAGAAUCCCCUUCCCUUUCCAGGUCUUUUCCCUGAUCUAGGAGAGAUUUAACUAAGAGUCUGGCACCUCUUUUAGGUCCAAUAAGAGCUCUGAAGAUAAAAAACCUUGGUCUCCACAACCUUUAUCGUAACCCAGACAAUCCUUUCUAUUCAUUCCAGGUCUCUACAAUAAUAACUUAACUCUUUCAAUUAAUUGCCCAUCAGAAAAUCGUUGAAUCCAUCUGUGACCUGGACACCUUCCACCUGCAUCCAUGGAGUUGUGUCACCUUUCUGGACCAAACCACUGGACACCUUACAUGUAUCGAUUGGCAACAUGUACACCUCCACACACUGCUAAAUGACAAAGCCGAAUUUUGAAAUACGAUACUGUGAGGUGUUUGGAGAAGAGAACUGAAAUGACGUCAUGGAGGUGGCAGGGGAUCGUCUUGCCCUUUUCUUAUUUUCUGCCUGUAACUUCUGUCCCCCUAAAAUGCAUAAAAUCCAGCUAGAACCCAACCACCUUAUGCAGCAGUUCUUAGGACCUCAUGGGGCUGUGUCAUCAAUCAAAGUCCUCAUAUUUGGCUCAGAAUAAAUCUCAUCAACUAAUUUACAAAUUUGACUCUUUGUGUUGACAAGUCUGUCUUACCGUUCUUUAAUAAGGGCCGUGUAUAAUGUUUUCUUUAGCAAGUGUGGCAAAA